ACAAGUUCUACUACCUUCCGUUUACACAUAUGUUCUUGUCUAUUCUUGAUUACCCUUCCAGAUGAAGAGUAAUUUUGAAUUAAUGUUUCAAGUUAUAAAACAAUUUCCAAUGGGAUUUUCGUUAAGUUUUUUAACUAAUUGUGAGAAUUGUGUAAUAUAGUGGUUUCAAAUGGUAUCUUGACCCAGUUUGAGGCCCUGGCUAGAGAGUAGUCACUUUUUUUCUUGAACAUUUGAUUUUGUUCACACCCCAAUCAUGUACCCCAAACUCUGGGCCACUAUGCAUCAACCCAAAUUGCCCCAUAGCCAGAUACCAGGCAACAAGGGCCAGUGCCUAGUCCUCAGAGCUCACUGAAAUUAUUCACACCAGCCAAUCUUAAACCUACUUGCCCUGCUUCACAGUUUCAUUCCUGCAGAAACCACAAUAAAGGGACGUGCCCUCAGUUGCCCUGUCUCCCUCUGCCUCAUGACUGACCGCGGUGCAUGACCUGAGUGGCCUUGUGUGGCCUGCUGCUUUCUCCCCAGUGAACUGUGAAUUACUAAUUGAGGCAUAUUUUGUGACUAUGGCAGAGGCAAAAAAGUACAAACAAAGGAGAAGGACUGAGGUGUUCUAUCUCUUUCCGGCACAAAUCAUCACUUCACAUAUCCCUUCUAGACAGCAGCUGUAUGAUAGCAUGAUACUUUUUUCUACUUGUUCUGAAGUGUGAACCGGAAAGAGCAGAAAGUGUUAGCCAGAGAAAAGACAUCCCUCUGUGAGGCCAGUAAAUUCUUUAAAGUUGUAUGAUCUCCAUUACCAUGAUAACAAAUUACUCAAGGCUCUUUGGCUAGGCCCAUAUGGCAUUUACUAUCUCCUCUGUAAUUUCAGCCAUAAAACUGUGAAAUUGCUCUAACUUCUAGGCAGCUUUCAACAUUUCUGUUAUUCCUUCUACUACUUACAAAGACUUCCUACUUUUUGCUGCUUGUAUCACAAUUUAAUUUUUUUUUUUUCAAUUCUAAGCCUUACAGUUGAAGGGAAAUUGCAUAGCUUUUUAGCUGUAAUUCAAGAGGUAAGUGUGUCCAGGGCUGAUCUUACAAAUUAAUCCUGAUUUGAUGUUGUUUACAGAUAGCUUUUUCUUAAAAAUGACAAAGAUAUUUCCUGUGCAAGAUAUGUUAAUAUGUAAUUAUCAUGGAAUAUGUAACCAUCAAAUCAGGUAUUGCUCUGUUUUCCCAAGUAAGUAAACUAAUACCUUUGAAUUGAUCCUACAUUCUGGCACACACACACACACAAAAGUAAACAUUUAACAUAUAGUAGAUGUGUUUUAGUUCAUGAUUUUGCGGUGCUAUGAAAGCAAAAGGAAUUUGAGACAUAUUCAGGUAACCUGAUUAAAAAAUGAUAAAUUGAUCAAUUACAUAUUAAAAGCUAUUAAGUCCCCAAGAAAUAUCAGCUAUUAAAAUAUAAGCUAAUACUUCAGAGGUCACCACAGAAGCUAAAAGCAAUGCCUUUGCUAGUUUAUUUGGUAAACAAGCAGCUCUUGCUAUCCAACCCAUGGAGGUGCUAUUAAGUUUACAUCUAUCUUAUUAAGCAUUCAGAAAGAUAAUUGACUCAAUUUAGGUAAUUAUAAUUGUUUACAACUUAGCUAUUCUAUUUAAACUUUGCAACCAAAGCAUAAGUAGUAGUAUUAUUUUCUCUCAUUUUACAGAUGAGAAAUCCGAGGCUCAAAUGUAACGAGUUUCUUCAGGGGAGCCAGGGUACAAACCCAGGUCCUUUUGACGUUUAAGUCAAUAUGCUUAACCACUACUACAGUAUAUUGCCAAAGGUUUUCUCUACUCUUUAGAGCAGCCAUUCUUUUUCUGUUUAAUAUUUUUUUUACUGUCUCAUGCAAUUUCCCUUCAAAAUUGCCUUGCCUUUUUUUUUUUAAUCUUUCUGGAACAAAUCUUUUCUGAAAAUGUGUGAUGUAUUUCCCACUCCCUCCUCUCCUUGCCAUUUUCCCCAAUUUUAAAAAAUUGAGCUAAAUUGUAUGUAACAUAAAGUGUACCAUCUUAACCAUUUUAAAAUAUACAGUUAAGUGGCAUUAAAUACAUUUCUAGUGUUGUGCAACCAUCAUUGCUAUUCAUCUCUGUAACUCUUUUCAUCUUGUAAAACUGAUAUUCUAUCUAUUAAACAGCAACUUCCUUUUCUUCCCUCUCCCCAGCCCCUGGCAAUCAGCAUUCUACUUUCUGUCUUUAUGAUUUUGGCUGCUGUAACUUCCUUGUGUAAAUGAAAUCAUACAAUAUUUGUCUUUUAAUGACUGGUUUAU